UACGGAGGAUGCAAGCGUUAUCCGGAUUUAUUGGGUUUAAAGGGUGCGCAGGUUGUUUGAUAAGUCAGUGGUGAAAGUCUGUCGCUUAACGGUAGGAUUGCCAUUGAUACUGCUGGACUUGAAUAUGGAUGAGGUAGGCGGAAUGUGUAGUGUAGCGGUGAAAUGCAUAGAUAUUACACAGAACACCGAUUGCGAAGGCAGCUUACUAAUCCAUCAUUGACGCUGAGGCACGAAAGCGUGGGGAUCAAA
rnacentral:rRNA from 1 species